UACGUAGGGUCCGAGCGUUGUCCGGAAUUAUUGGGCGUAAAGGGCUCGUAGGCGGUUUGUCGCGUCGGGAGUGAAAACGCCGGGCCUAACCCGGUGCUUGCUUUCGAUACGGGCAGACUGGAGGUAUGCAGGGGAGAACGGAAUUCCUGGUGUAGCGGUGAAAUGCGCAGAUAUCAGGAGGAACACCGGUGGCGAAGGCGGUUCUCUGGGCAUGACCUGACGCUGAGGAGCGAAAGUGUGGGGAGCGAACAGG
rnacentral:rRNA from 1 species